rnacentral:rRNA from 1 species
UCAGGAUGAACGCUGGCGGCGUGCUUAACACAUGCAAGUCGAACGGAGUUUUUAACGGAAGUUUCGGAUGGAAGUUUAGAAACUUAGUGGCGGACGGGUGAGUAACGCGUGGGUAACCUGCCUCAUACAGGGGGAUAACAGUUAGAAAUGACUGCUAACACCGCAUAAUAUAGCGAAACCGCAUGAUUUUUGCUAUCAAAAUAUUUAUAGGUAUGAGAUGGGCCCGCGUCUGAUUAGCUAGUUGGUGGGGUAAAAGCCUACCAAGGCGACGAUCAGUAGCCGGCUUGAGAGAGUGACCGGCCACAUUGGGACUGAGACACGGCCCAAACUCCUACGGGAGGCAGCAGUGGGGAAUAUUGGACAAUGGGGGAAACCCUGAUCCAGCCGACGCCGCGUGAGUGAAGAAGUAUUUCGGUACGUAAAGCUCUAUCAGCAGGGAAGAUAAUGACAGUACCUGACUAAGAAGCCCCGGCUAACUACGUGCCAGCAGCCGC